rnacentral:lncRNA from 1 species
GCUUUCUCUCUCCUCUCUGUUCUCUCCUUCAUACUUUUCACAGAGACGGAUGAUUGAGAAAGCGAAGAUGAAUGGUCUCUCUCUCUUUUUUCCUUUAUCCUUCAGAAAAAGAGAGGCUCCGUCAAGCUGGUCGGAUUUGUUACCGGCGCUUGACUCCCGAUGGUCGGGCUAUGACUCUGGCAAGUGGUGGCUCUUAAAGCACUAUCUUGGCCGGCUUCCGUCUCCGGCAAGCGGUGGUUCCCAUUAACACCGUAUUUUCCGGCUUUUAUUUUGAGAUUCAUCUCUCAUCUCCGAUGGAUUUCAAAUCUGUUUUAUACAGUUUUCUUCUUGUGUUUUUUUAAUCUUUCUUUGUUUCUGUUCAUCAUUUCUUAGUUUCCUUCGAUUCGAUUUUGCUAAGGGUGGUUUUUGAUUACUGUGAUCUUUUCCCAUUCAUUUGGGUGGCCCCAUCUUCAAGCUAAACUUUAUCUUUAAAGAUGGUUUUUAAAAAUUGUUAGAUCUUCAGUUUUCUUUGUUCUAAAUGGACCUUAGUUAGAUCGAUUUGAUUUCUUUGAAACGGUGUAGUGGUUUAUGGCUACUGAUUUCGAGCUUCUCAGAUGCUUAGCUGUUCUAUUCCUGAGCUUCCUGUUCCGGUACGUUCCGGUGGAUCUCCGGUUAGAAAUUCCGGCUUCGACUUGAAAAUCGGUGAAGAAAGGGUUGUCUCUGCUCUUCCGCCACGCGUCCAUCUACCGCACGCGUCUGAUGCGUUGGCUGUGAGCUGUCUCGUUGACUGCUGAGCCUCUUUCUUUCUAUGGGCCUUUAUGUUAGUUGGGCUUGCGGUUUGCCCUAGUUGUUAGUUAGUUAGUUUGGCCUUUCUGUUUGGGCCUUUAUCUUUUAUAUUCUUGUACUUUGUUGGCCUUUUGGCUUUUAAUAAAACGAGAUGGCAAAAAAAAAAAAAAAUUCAAUCCCGUGAUAGACUGAUAGUGUAUACUAAUAAUCCAAUCUGGUUCACAUGUUUCUACAUAAAACUUUAGUAAUAUACACAUACAUGCACAUUCACUUUGACACCACAGACGCAUUGAAUUAUAGUAUAUAAAUGUUCUUCUUGCGUGUUGGUAUCACCGCAUAAUUUCUGCCCAAUGGCGUUUAUGGCAAAACCAAUAAUGCGGUCAAGAACAAAAUUGAAAACUUCACAAGGCCCAAAACCCAUACAACAAGAACUGUGUUUUGACAGGACCACAUAAUGGCACUAUCGAAAAUAGAGCCAGUAAGCGAUACUCC